rnacentral:sRNA from 1 species
GAUGGCGGCCGGGUGCCCCGGAUGUAGCCCUGGCGCAAGCAUCUGUUCUUUUCUCCCCCUCGCCUCCCGCGGAUUCCCAGCUUGAGAAACAUCUCUUUGCCCCGUCAUGCCAAAGAGGAAAGUGACCUUCCAAGGCGUGGGAGAUGAGGAGGAUGAGGAUGAAAUCAUUGUCCCCAAGAAGAAGCUGGUGGACCCUGUGGCUGGGUCAGGGGGUCCUGGGAGCCGCUUCAAAGGCAAACACUCUUUGGAUAGCGAUGAGGAGGAUGAUGAUGAUGAUGGGGGUUCCAGUAAAUAUGACAUCUUGGCCUCAGAGGAUGUAGAAGGUAAGCUGUACCCAAGAAUACACUCUGCUGGAGAAACAAGUAGGGGCCUCUGGUGGUGUGGAGCGAGGGAGGCUCCGGUCUCUUUUUUCCAUGCCUAGAAAAGGGCACCUGUGUCUUUGGUGCAGGUCAGGAGGCAGCCACACUCCCCAGCGAGGGGGGUGUUCGGAUCACACCUUUUAACCUGCAGGAGGAGAUGGAGGAAGGCCACUUUGAUGCCG